UGAGUGUUUGAUAAUUCAUAUUAGCGUUCCAAGUUGUUUAACAAUUUCUAAAUAAAGUACCUCGUUUUUAAGUAAUUAUAGAAAGUACGAUUACCACUGCUAUCUUUGGAAAAUUUGUGUUUGAUAUAUACUCAUGUUGUAGGGUCUGAUUUGAUGUAAAAAUAUGAUAUAAUGAUAAGUGUAAAAAAUAUUUCUUGAUUAAUUUAAUAUUUUUAUUAUCGCGAGUGGUACAAAACGUGACGAGUCUGACCUUUAGUGUUUGUAUUGGACGCUAUUGUCGAUUCUUCAUUGUAAAUGGAAGAUGAAUCUAACGGAUGUUCAGUUACGGAGAUUUUAUGGAGAAAAUUGAAAAUGAAUGAUGAUGGCCGGCUCUUUCUUGACAGUAUCAGUUUUUAAACAAAAGGGAAAUAGUAUAAAAUGUAAAAUUUAGAAAUAUAAAAUUAAAUUUAAAUCGUCAUUGCCAUUCUUUUC